ensembl:snoRNA
CUGGCUCUGUAUCAAGGCCAGCAGUUUUCUGAAGCUGCUGGUUUCAAGCAGGAGCCUACAGUGGUAUCUUUCUACGGUCUGUUGGUCAUUUCAGAACUUUAGAAAUGAAAUGGUCAGUUCAUUAGAAAGAAACAACU